rnacentral:rRNA from 1 species
UACGAAGGGGGCUAGCGUUGUUCGGAAUUACUGGGCGUAAAGGGCGCGUAGGCGGUACUUCAAGUCAGGCGUGAAAGCCCCGGGCUCAACCUGGGAACCGCGCUUGAGACUGGAGAACUAGAGUUCGGGAGAGGAUGGUGGAAUUCCCAGUGUAGAGGUGAAAUUCGUAGAUAUUCGGAGGAACACCGGUGGCGAAGGCGGUUCUCUGGGCCUUACCUGACGCUGAGGAGCGAAAGCGUGGGGAGCGAACAGG